UACGGGGGGAGCAAGCGUUGUUCGGAUUUACUGGGCGUAAAGGGCGCGUAGGCGGUCAGCACAAGUCAGUUGUGAAAUCUCCGGGCUUAACUCGGAAAGGUCAACUGAUACUGUGCGACUAGAGUGCGGAAGGGGCAACUGGAAUUCUCGGUGUAGCGGUGAAAUGCGUAGAGAUCGGGAGGAACAUCAGUGGCGAAGGCGGCCAUCUGGAUCAACACUGACGCUGAGGCACGAGAGCGUGGGGAGCAAACAGG
rnacentral:rRNA from 1 species